AAAUAAGUAAACUAUUGUAUCAUAAUUUUAUUUAUUUAUGCUAUAAAAUCUUAUAUUUCAAUUUUGGUCUUAUGUAUGAUUAUCUAAAAUACAUAUUUGUUGGACCGGAUCACCAAUGGUCUAUUUAAAAUGUUAACAAACAAAUUAAUAGCUUUUUUUCUAUAGUUUUACAGCAUGUUAAAUAAAAAAUAUGAUGUAACAUGCUAUUACCGGGAUAUCAAUGGUAUAAUAGAAUAAAAAUAAAUUUGUUCAAUUGAGCAUAAUUUUCAUUGACCUAGGUAAAUUUAUGUUAUUGGUUGCCAUUUUAGAUCAUUUUGCUUAUCUUUUAUAGUUAAUAUUACUAUUAUAAAGUAGCUCGAUCCAUGCAGGCACAAACAAAUUCUGAUAAAAUGACCAUUUUACCCUCGUUUAUUAAAUUACCAACCAUAAGAAAAGACUAUGACCCAAUCAAAUAGUGGUUGGAUCCUUGCCAAUUGCCAUCACACAAAUCUAGAAUUCAAACAUAAAAAAUGAGGAAAAAUACAAAUUUGGCACCUGAUUCUUAACAAGAGAGAUAACUCGCAGGCAUCAACAAGCACAUGGUGGUCGGAAAUGGUGGUGGUUGUAGGCAGCAUUAUGAAACCGAAACCAGUCAGACUAAUAUACAUACCACCACAUUCGAUGAAACAUCCCCAAAAUAUGACACAAAAAUUUUGUUUUCAGAUCAUUAUUAAAAUCAUAAACUAUCCAAAGUUAUAAGAAAAUUCAUAAAUCAUGUAGCAUAAAACAUCAUAGUAUCUGUCUCAAAUCAAAAUCUCAUAACAAAACAUCAGAGUAAACUCCCAGGCUAUGACUGUGGUGUGUGACAUUCGAUCAUCCCGAGCGCUUCCCUUUGCUAGUGGAAGUACGUGAAACCAAAACUGAAAACUGUAAGCACGAAGCUUAGUGAGCUCCCCCAAACUACCACAUACCAUACAAUGACACAUAUACCACAUACUGGGCCUUGCCCACUGCAUCCGGCCCCGCCCGGCAUCGGACCGAAGUCUAGCAUAAAUUGGGCCCCGCCCGGCAUCAGACCGAAGUCCGGAAUAACUGAACAUAACAUAAACAUGAACAUAUAACACAUAGCAUAAACAUGCAUGAAUCACAAAGAUAUCAAGCAUAAAUAACUACUUCUCGGGACAACCCCGGCAUCGGGCUUACCCCGGCAUACUGCAACUACAUAAACAGGCCAGCAUUGGUGCCUUAGACGCGUUCCUACUGGAGGAAAAACUAACCUCUCAAACUGACUGUUGAAUAACCCGUGCAA
rnacentral:lncRNA from 1 species